rnacentral:rRNA from 1 species
GACGAACGCUGGCGGCGGGCCUAAUACAUGCAAGUCGAGCGCUAAAGGGUGGUAGUUGUCCGCACCGGAGGAGCAGCGAACGGGUGAGUAAAGCGUGGGGAAACUGGCUUGGAGGGGGGGACAACAUAUGGAAACGAAUGCUAAAACCGCAUAAAAACUGUAAAAACGAGGAGGAAGAUUGAAAGAUGCAAUGGCAUCAGUCAAGGAUGAACGCGCGUUGUAUUGGCUAGGUGGUGAGGUAAAGGCACACCAAGGCGAUGAUACCUAGCCGACGUGAGAGGGUUGUCCGCCCCCUUUGGACUGAGACCCGGCCCCAACCCCUACGGGAGGCCGCCGUAGGGAAUCUUCGGCAAUUGACGGAAGUCUUACCGAGCCCCGCCGCGUGAUUUGAGAAGGGUUUCGGAUCGUAAAACUCUGUUCGUCGAGAAGAACGUUGGUGAGAGUGGAACGCUCAUCCAGUGACGGUACCUACCCAGAAAGCGCCGGCUAACUCCGUG